CCCAAAUAUCCCAUCUAAACUUGCAGAGUGAAGCUGUGAUGUCCAAAGGAGCUGUCAGGGACACACUGGGUGCUCCCACCUCAUUUCCUGCUUCUCUUCCUCUGCUUGCAGUACACAGACGGGGAGGGAGAAGGUGACACUUACUACUACGAGUACCCCUACUACGAGGACGUGGAUGAAGCUGUCAAACCAGAAACCCCCACCACCAAACCCAGCCCUCCUGAAGUGGCUGCUGGAGAGAGACCCGAAACCAAGCAGGUAGGAGGCAGGGGUGAAGGUGAUGCACCUUUCUAAAGGGGCGGGUGAUGCAGAAUGUUUCUGUUUCUCUGAUGGUGAUGUUUUAUUUCCCAUGUCUGACAGGAUUACCCAGCUCCCACGGCAGCCCCUGAAAGAGGGAACCCCGGGAAGCAGCCCAAGGAGGACGGAGCAGUGGAUGAUCCCCUGGUUGAUGAGUACAACUACGAGACCAUCAACGAGGAGUAUUUUACCCCAAUGCCCUACGAGGAUCUCAACUACAACGAGGAAAUCGAUCCCCAGGGUGGCCUCACUGAAAAUGCAGUGGAAGCUGAACUCCCCACCAGCACUGUCGUCACCUACAAUGAGACUGAUGCUGCUCAAGGAGGGGAUGACCUGGAUAAAGAUUUCACUGAGGAAACCAUAAAGGAAUAUGAUGGGAAUUAUUAUGACAGCUAUUAUGACCGGACAGCCUCUCCCGACAUCGGCCCCGGCAUGCCGGCCAACCAGGACACCAUCUACGAGGGGGUGAGAGGCUUUCUGCUCCAUCCAGGAAAAUCCUGCUUCAAAAUGUUGCUCCUUCCAUAAUUUAGAACAGAAUUAGAGCAAAAAGCCGAGGAUUCACCCAUGUGCAACUCGUAUUUAAACAAGGAGGAGCUGCCCUGGGUCUCUCCUGCAGGAACCUGAGCAGGAUUGUGCCAGAUCUCCUGUUCCUGGUGGGGUUGGUGCUGGUGAUGAUGGCAAUGUCCUCUCUGACUGUCUGGCUUUGUGUUUCCCUGUGUCCCACAGAUCGGUGGCCCCCGGGGCGAGAAGGGCCAGAAGGGGGAACCUGCCAUCAUUGAGCCGGUAAGGAGCACCUGAAUUUGGGUUUUGUUGAUUUUUCCCCAUGGAAAAAGGUGCAGAGAUCUUGUUCUCAGUGGGACAGCUGGGAGCAAAAUCCCCAUGAAAGAAUCCCCUGGUUCAUAUAAUAUGAAAUCAUGCCAUUAUAUAAUUUUUUUAAACCUUCAAGGAGCGACCUAAAUCAUGAAAGAAGUGCAAGAAUUCCCAUGAAAUCCCUCAUUUAGCAAAAUAAAACCUGGGGCUGAAGCGUUGGGCA
rnacentral:lncRNA from 1 species